AGAGUUUGAUCCUGGCUCAGAGCGAACGCUGGCGGCAGGCUUAACACAUGCAAGUCGAGCGGGCGUAGCAAUACGUCAGCGGCAGACGGGUGAGUAACGCGUGGGAACAUACCUUUUGGUUCGGAACAACACAGGGAAACUUGUGCUAAUACCGGAUAAGCCCUUACGGGGAAAGAUUUAUCGCCGAAAGAUUGGCCCGCGUCUGAUUAGCUAGUUGGUGAGGUAACGGCUCACCAAGGCGACGAUCAGUAGCUGGUCUGAGAGGAUGAUCAGCCACAUUGGGACUGAGACACGGCCCAAACUCCUACGGGAGGCAGCAGUGGGGAAUAUUGGACAAUGGGCGCAAGCCUGAUCCAGCCAUGCCGCGUGAGUGAUGAAGGCCCUAGGGUUGUAAAGCUCUUUUGUGCGGGAAGAUAAUGACGGUACCGCAAGAAUAA
rnacentral:rRNA from 1 species